rnacentral:lncRNA from 1 species
GACUUUUUUGAAUGGUCGGGAGUGCAAGUAUUUGGAGGAGAGGGACGAAGCUCGCAAGGAAUUGCCUCUGUUGCAGCGGAGGUUGGCAGAAUCCGAGGCCUCCUGCGAGGUGUUCAGGGAGGAGCGUAAGACCCUCUCGGCCAACCUUAAGGAAGCGGAGGAUAGGCUCAAGACGGUUUCGGAGGAGAGGGACAGUGCUGUGCAGAAGGUUGAGGAGCAGAAGGCUAUGAUUGGCGAGUUGACGGGGAAGUUGGAGANNNNNNNNNNNNUCAAUUCACCGGGGUUGUUGAAGAUCGGGAGAAGGAGCUCGACCCUCAAGGGGAGUAUGCUUCCUCCUCUCGCGCUGAUCUGAUCGCCAAGAUCCAGGAGCUUGAGUCCAACAUGGUGGCUGCUGCAGCCUUUAGUUUUAACAACGCAGUGGCUCAACUCAGGAUUCUCAACCCCGGUUUGAUCGAGGAGGG